CAAGCUGGAGCACGGGUCGGCGCCUCAGCCGACACAUCAAAUAACACACCAGUCGUCGCAUCAGCCGGCGCGCAAGUUCCCGCUUUUAGAUGGCGCGGACCAAAGGCUGGAUCUAACACAGCGUCCCCAGCUGUGCAAGAGCAGGACCUGCCCAGCAGAGGCCUGGGCCUAGACAUGUCCAAGCAGAAGGAACUGCUGUUGUAUAACAGGAGCAUAAUUUAAACUGGAGACCAAGAGGAAGGCAAUCGGGCCGCUGCCAAAGGGAGCAGCAGUUUCUAAAUUUUUUGUAUAAACUGUCUGCUCUUAGUUUUUAUUGGGGAGAGAGGAGAAGAGGAAGAGGAAGGGGAAGAGGAAGAGGAAGAGGACAAUAAAAAAAGAAGAAUAGAAAAAACACAAAAGUGAAGAGAAAAGAUGAAAAAGUGAGAGAAAAAAUAUGAAGAAAAAAAAAAUAAAAAUAAAAUUAUAUUUCUAAUGAAAAAAUAUUUUAACCAAAUAUAUAUAUU